AUGGCGACCGGCGCACGGGUGAGUAACACGUAUCCAACCUGCCGAUAACUCGGGGAUAGCCUUUCGAAAGAAAGAUUAAUACCCGAUGGUAUAAUCAGACCGCAUGGUCUUGUUAUUAAAGAAUUUCGGUUAUCGAUGGGGAUGCGUUCCAUUAGGCAGUUGGUGAGGUAACGGCUCACCAAACCUUCGAUGGAUAGGGGUUCUGAGAGGAAGGUCCCCCACAUUGGAACUGAGACACGGUCCAG
rnacentral:rRNA from 1 species